ACUCUUGGACAGCCUUCUGAAAGGAAGAUUAAUACAAGAUGGCAUCAUGAGUCCACAUGUUCACAUGAUUAAAGGUAUUCCGGUAGACGAUGGGGAUGCGUUCCAUUAGAUAGUAGGCGGGGUAACGGCCCACCUAGUCUUCGAUGGAUAGGGGUUCUGAGAGGAAGGUCCCCCACAUUGGAACUGAGACACGGUCCAAACUCCUACGGGAGGCAGCAGUGAGGAAUAUUGGUCAAUGGGCGAGAGCCUGAACCAGCCAAGUAGCGUGAAGGAUGACUGCCCUAUGGGUUGUAAACUUCUUUUAUAAAGGAAUAAAGUCGGGUAUGCAUACCCGUUUGCAUGUACUUUAUGAAUAAGGAUCGGCUAACUCCGUGCCAGCAGCCGCGGUAAUACGGAGGAUCCGAGCGUUAUCCGGAUUUAUUGGGUUUAAAGGGAGCGUAGAUGGAUGUUUAAGUCAGUUGUGAAAGUUUGCGGCUCAACCGUAAAAUUGCAGUUGAUACUGGAUAUCUUGAGUGCAGUUGAGGCAGGCGGAAUUCGUGGUGUAGCGGUGAAAUGCUUAGAUAUCACGAAGAACUCCGAUUGCGAAGGCAGCCUGCUAAGCUGCAACUGACAUUGAGGCUCGAAAGUGUGGGUA
rnacentral:rRNA from 1 species